GAUGAAGAACGUAGCGAAAUGCGAUAAGUAAUGUGAAUUGCAGAACUCAGUGAAUCAUCGAAUCUUUGAACGCACAUUGCGCCCUCUGGUAUUCCGGGGGGCAUGCCUGUCCGAGCGUCAUUGCUGCCCUCAAGCACGGCUUGUGUGUUGGGCCUCCGUCCUCCUCCCGGGGGACGGGCCCGAAAGGCAGCGGCGGCACCGCGUCCGGUCCUCGAGCGUAUGGGGCUUCGUCACCCGCUCUUGUAGGCCCGGCCGGCGCUUGCCGACACAUCAAUCUUUUUUCCAGGUUGACCUCGGAUCAGGUAGGGAUACCCGCUGAACUUAAGCAUAUCAAUAAGCGGAGGA
rnacentral:misc_RNA from 1 species